AACGAACGCUGGCGGCAUGCCUAACACAUGCAAGUCGAACGAGACCUUCGGGUCUAGUGGCGCACGGGUGCGUAACGCGUGGGAACCUGCCCUUAGGUUCGGAAUAACUCCCCGAAAGGGGUGCUAAUACCGGAUAAUGUCUUCGGACCAAAGAUUUAUCGCCUUUGGAUGGGCCCGCGUUGGAUUAGCUAGUUGGUAGGGUAAAAGCCUACCAAGGCGACGAUCCAUAGCUGGUCUGAGAGGAUGAUCAGCCACACUGGGACUGAGACACGGCCCAGACUCCUACGGGAGGUAGCAGUGGGGAAUAUUGGACAAUGGGCGAAAGCCUGAUCCAGCAAUGCCGCGUGAGUGAUGAAGGCCUUAGGGUUGUAAAGCUCUUUUACCCGGGAUGAUAAUGACAGUACCGGGAGAAUAAGCUCCGGCUAACUCCGUGC
rnacentral:rRNA from 1 species